AGCUGCCGCCUCUGCCCCGGGCUCCCAUCGUCCCGGCCGGUCCCAGCCGCCGGCGCCCCGGGCACUUCCGCCUGCGAGGCCCCGCCCCGCCGGGAGCCGGGGCCCGAGCGGGACUCGCGCACUGGGGUGGGAAGGAGGAGGCUAGCGGGGGCCGAAGCGGGCCGAAGGAGACUUGGGGACACAGGGGGAGCGCGAGGAAAAUGGGUCAGAGGGAGGUCGCGCGGGCUGAGAGGGAAGGCAGACUCACCGCCGCGCGCGCUGCUGUGGGAGGCAGGGCGGGACAGGAUGGAGGGUCACGCAGCGCGCACGAGGGACUUGGAACCGAGAGGGUCGGGGCGCGGCGGGCUGGCGCGGGACCCAGCGGGGCGCGCGGGGGACGUGGGACGAACGGGCACUGGGGGACUGCAGGCUGGCGGGGGACCACGGCGCACGAGGGCAGAGGGCUGGCGCGGGUCCCAGCGGUGCGCGCGGCGGCGUGGGACGGAGGGGGCACGGGGAGGGAGCGGCGGGCUGGCGCGGGACCCAGCGGGGCGCGCGGUGGACGUGGGACAGAGCGGGCACCGGGGGGCUGCGGGCUAGCGGGGGACCACGGUGCACGAGGGCAGAGGGCUGGCGCGGGACCCAGCGGUGCGCGCGGGAGCGUGGGACGGAGGGGGUACGGAGAGGGGGCGGCGGGCUGGCGCGGGAAUCAAGGAUUCAGAAGGGAAAGAGUCGGGGCGAGAGUUGGAACCCACUGUAGAUCUGAGGCGGCAGGCGGUGCCCGGAUCGCCCCCAAGAGCUUCCUACAGUUGCUGGGUUGCACAAGAGUUGAGCGUCUGGGUUCCCCGAGUGUGCGCCGGGCACGCGUGAUGAAGGCCUCCGAGCCGGGUGCUGAGGACGCUGGGGAGACGCGCGCCCAGCAGCCGUCGAGUCCUGGGCGCACCUCCGCCUUGCCAGCGUGGGCCUUAGCCUUGACCGUGUGCCUCCAGCCCCUCACAGCUGGGCUCCCCAGGCCAGGCCUCCACACCACGAAACUGCUACGAGUGUGUGCAAAGAACACACUUUCGUGGAAAAAUGGAAAGGCUCCAUGUCCGUGUGGGAAUUUCGUGCUCUAUAAGGUGGCAAUUUGCCUCAAUCAAUGAAUUCCAACCAGAGGAGUGGUCGACUGUUGAGAAUAAAAUGAGAGAAAUACUAGAAAGAGACUUGGAAUGAAGGGAUGGAGAAUCAUGAGGGAAAAAGCUAGUGGUGCGGCCACCCUGGGCCCAGCUAACAUCUGGUCUCCACUCCCACGGCUCCCCUUCUAGCCAGAGACGGGUGCUCAGCCCUCCACAAACUGUGGAAUGCUUCAGGUCUUCAGACACCCUGGCUGCUCUCUUCCAACCUGCCUGUCUUAACCCUAACUCACAUGGGCUCCUCCACCAAGUGCCUCUUGUGCGGGAGUCCCUGUGAAGACCCCAGGUCAGAAGGAGCCCCCUGCUCUGUGGGCUCACGGCCUCCUGUCCCAACACCGUUCUGCGGGCUUCCCGUAUGAAGGGGCUGGGUCACACCUUCUGUGAUCUCAUGGCUGGGGUGGGGGGAUGCAAGCCUUUGUCUCCCUCUUUGUCCCUGUGCAUCAACUUGUUGGCAUAAACUGGGCCAGGAUCCCCCCAAAUUUGCAUUUCAUAGCAAUGUUUUACCCAAAAGUUUUGGAAGCAAUGUAAAACUUUUGAAUCUUUAUUUUACAAAA